ensembl:lncRNA
GAGAGGGUUAUAAUGAUGAUCACACUAUGACAUUUCUGUAGUAUUUCACUGUGCACAUUGGUGCAAUAUUUUGGACUUAAUUAAUACUCUCCAGGAACCUCAGUUUAUGGGUGGCGAUAACCGUAUUUUAGAUCAUGUGAAAUACCACAACAAAAAUUCAAUUCAUAAGGCAGAUGGCAAAGCCUAGUUUGAAGAACAACAAAACAGGAAGAUUUACAAGCUUGGAGAAGAACUCAGCUGGAACCAGGAAUGAUGGAGAAGAAAGGCUAAUGAACAGAAUGUUACUAACACCACUGAUCAGUUGCCUUGUUGUUUUUGAUUUUGGUACUGCCACAAGCACCACAUAAAAGCGGAGAUGAUUCACAUGUUUAAUAUGAUAAAGCGCAUAUUAAAGUUUAGAUGCUUUCAGAUUUUCUAAGUCCAGCUAAGGAAGGCUACAGAGGCCAACAUUUAACCACCCUAGGGCUCAGCAAGCACCUUGUCACAACCUAAGUACUAAAGAAAAUGGUACAGUGAAAUAAAAUUUUGAGAAGUUAUAAUAAAUAAGACACUUGCUGCCUCA